rnacentral:rRNA from 1 species
CGGCGGACGGGUGAUAUGUCUGGGAAAACUGCCUGAUGGAGGGGGAUAACUACUGAAACGGUAGCUAAUACCGCAUAACGUCGCAAGACCAGAGAGGGGACCUUCGGGCCUCUUGGCCAUCAGAUGUGCCCAGAUGGGAUUACUAUUAGGUGGGGUAACGGCUCACCUAAGCGACGAUCCCUACUGGUCUGAAAGGAUGACCACCACACUGGAACUGAACACGGUCCAACUCCUACGGGAGGCACUGGGGAAUAUUGCCAAUGGGCGCAAGCCUGAUGCAGCCAUGCCGCGUGUAUAGAAGAAGGCCUUCGGGUUGUAAAGUACUUUCAGCGGGGAGGAAGGUGUUGUGGUUAAUAACCACAGCAAUUGACGUUACCCGCAGAAAAGCACCGGCUAACUCCGUGCCAGCAGCCGCGGUAAUACGGAGGGUGCAAGCGUUAAUCGGAAUUACUGGGCGUAAAGCGCACGCAGGCGGUCUGUCAAGUCGGAUGUGAAAUCCCCGGGCUCAACCUGGGAACUGCAUUCGAAACUGGCAGGCUAAAGUCUUGUAAGGGGGGUAAAUUCCAGGUUGUAACGGUGAAAUGCGUAGAGAUCUUGGAG